GAUGAACGCUGGCGGCGUGCCUAAUACAUGCAAGUAGAACGCUGAAGGAGGAGCUUGCUCUUCUGGAUGAGUUGCGAACGGGUGAGUAACGCGUAGGUAACCUGCCUUGUAGCGGGGGAUAACUAUUGGAAACGAUAGCUAAUACCGCAUGACAACAGUUAUUGCAUGAUAACUGUUUAAAAGGGGCAACUGCUCCACUACCAGAUGGACCUGCGUUGUAUAGCUAGUUGGUGGGGUAACGGCUCACCAAGGCGACGAUACAUAGCCGACCUGAGAGGGUGGUCGGCCACACUGGGACGGAGACAGGGCCCAGACACCUUCGGGAGGGAGCAGGAGGGGAGCUUCGGCGAUGGACGGAAGUCUGACCGAGCAAGGCCGCGUGAGUGAAGAAGGGUGGCGGAUCGUAAAGGUCUGUUGUAAGAGAAGAACGAGUGUGAGAGUGGAAAGUUCACACUGUGACGGUAGCUGACCAGAAAGGGACGGCUAACUACGUG
rnacentral:rRNA from 1 species